UAUAUAUUAGUUAUUGGUUAUGUAAAUGAAAAGGGGAAUUUUCGGAAGAAAUAGAAAGUGGAAAUACGAUAGUUUCUAGAGAUAGAAAAUGAGGGGAAAAAAAAUGAUAGUAGUUUCCUAUUCAAACUCUACACAUAUCUUUACUUUCAGUAGGCCGAAGCCGAAAGACUGUAAGUUAUGGGAGGUCGAAUCACAGGCUCGAUUCCAUUACUCUAUGUUAUAAGGAAUAAGAUAUCAGUGAUGCGUGGGUUGAUUAGGGCGACGGCAGUGCGAAGACUGUGAAACAAGUCUUGGCCAUACUAGGAGGACUGGAAGUCUAUCUUUGGGAAGGAUUAUAGCAACGGGGUGCGUGCAGAAGACGUGGCAGAUGAGCUACUGAACGGGAAGGACACAUCUUUGGCCGACGAGUCCGAACCAAAUAUGGUUGCGUACACACUGAAAGACUUCUUCACGGAUGACCAAAUCCAAGACACCCUCAACUUUGACGCUACCACGAAUGUCCUUCUUGGUGACUGAUAGAAAAAGUGUCCGGAGCCCAAGCUCCGGUAAGAAGAGAAGCCGUCAGAGGAUUUGUUCGAGUCAAUGUUGAAUGUGAUGACGAAGAUUCAUGAGGACACCAAUCAGCGUCUUCAAACUCUGUCCUCUCGUAUCGGUUACGACUUCGAUUUGAGUGCCAAGCGAGUUGAGAUCAGCAAGAUGUUGGAGGAAAUUCCGGAAGUUCCAUAGAAACAUCGUUUCAUGGCGUUAGACAUUCUAGUGAAGGAGCCUGAACGGUUGGAUCUAUUCACCGGUUUCUCGUUGUCUGACAAGUAUUGACUACAUCAUCCAUAUCUUUUAUUUGCAUGUGUUUUGGGUGAUCUAUUUUGUAGGGUUCACAUUUAUCUUCGUCUACCUAUUUUCCAAAUUGGUGGACGAAGUAGUUGGGUGUAUUGAAUGAUGUUAAGUCCAACCGUGCGUAUCUAUUUUUGGAUUAGAAUAUGUAUUCACAUUCGAAGAAUUUUUCA